rfam:Schistosoma rodhaini strain Burundi genome assembly, scaffold: SROB_scaffold0002620
ACAUUGCUGAGGAGUCCCACAAUAGAACGAAAUGAUCGUCCAGUGC